rnacentral:misc_RNA from 1 species
GAUGAAGAACGUAGUGAAAUGCGAUAAGUAAUGUGAAUUGCAGAAUUCAGUGAAUCAUCGAAUCUUUGAACGCACCUUGCGCCCCUUGGUUAUUCCAAAGGGCAUGCCUGUUUGAGUAUCAUGAACACCUCAACUCUUGUGGUUUCCCACAAUGAGCUUGGACUGUGGAGGUUUUGUUGGCCCUGUGGUCAGCUCCUCUCAAAUGGAUCAGCUUACCGGUGUUUGGUGGCAUUACGGGUGUGAUAACUAUCUACGCUCGUGGUCGUCUCCAAAUAACCUCCAGUGAUGGAGGUUCGCUGGAGCUUAUAAAUGUCUCUCCCCAGUGAAGACAGCCUUUGAACGUUCGAUCUCAAAUCAGGUAGGACUACCCGCUGAACUUAAGCAUAUCAAUAAGCGGAGGA